ACACUGAAAACACUGGUACCCAUUUGAUAACCAAAGUUAAGCAGUGUUGAGCCUAGUCAGUAAUUUGAUGAGUGACCACUUGGGAAUA